ACACUGACGGGUCAACGGGUAGGAUGUGCGAGAGCGCUUCCCAAUCUCUAAAUCCGCUCGUGCUGGGGAUCGAGGCUUGCAAUUUUCCCUCUUGAACGAGGAAUACCUUGUAAGCGCGGGUCAUCAUCCCGUGCUGAAUACGUCCCUGCCCUUUGUACACACCGCCCGUCGCUCCUACCGAUUGAGUGGUCCGGUGAGGCCUUGGGGGGGAAAGAUGGACUGUGUUCCACAGACCGUCUGGCCCGAACUUGGUCAAACCUUAUCACUUAGAGGAAGGAGAAGUCGUAACAAGGUUUCCGUAGGUGAACCUGCGGAAGGAUCAUUCGUAGUGGGAUAGCGGGCUGGAGGGGCAUAUUUACCUGUGUCCCCUAGCCUGCUUUUCUAUCAUAUCUCGUGAACAGUUGUAUUCCAUCUUUUUCUAUUUAAACUUAAUAACCCAUAAUCAAUAAACACAAACAAAAAUAACAACAAAAACUCGUGACGGUGGAUGUCUUGGCUCCAGCAACGAUGAAGAACGCAGCAAAAUGCGAUACGUAGUGCGAAUUGCAGAACCCGUGAAUCAUCGAAUCUUUGAACGCAAGUUGCGCUCGCGGGUAAUCCUGCGAGCAUGUCUGUUUGAGUGUCCGCACAAAUGCGACUUUUGCUCUUUUCUAAAAGAACUGCUGAUGGGCGUGCAGAAAUGCAGUCAAGUCCGGGUCCCUCUGGGAUGCGGUCGCCCGAAGAUCAGAGCGCUGAUUGUGGUGGAUCUUUCUGUCCCGCUGCCUUGGUAAAAAUCCUUUGGAUUGCGACAAGGCGGAGCGUGCGCUGCGAAGUAAUUUUCUAUUGAGCAGAACGCAAAGUCUUGUUCGUGACGCGGAAGCAAUUUCGCGACCACUGGACGCUGGAGUAGCUGGGUACAGGAACCGCUUGCAAGUAGCCAAAAACCUAUAACACUCAUUUUGGAUCUCAAAUCAGACAAGACGACCCGCUGAAUUUAAGCAUAUCAAAAGCCGGAGGAA
rnacentral:rRNA from 1 species